AGAUUGAACGCUGGCGGCAGGCCUAACACAUGCAAGUCGAGCGGCAGCACGGGUACUUGUACCUGGUGGCGAGCGGCGGACGGGUGAGUAAUGCCUAGGAAUCUGCCUGGUAGUGGGGGGAUAACGCUCGGAAACGGACGCUAAUACCGCAUACGUCCUACGGGAGAAAGCAGGGGACCUUCGGGCCUUGCGCUAUCAGAUGAGCCUAGGUCGGAUUAGCUAGUUGGUGGGGUAAUGGCUCACCAAGGCGACGAUCCGUAACUGGUCUGAGAGGAUGAUCAGUCACACUGAACUGAGACACGGUCCAGACUCCGUACGGGAGGCAGCAGUGGGGAAUAUUGGACAAUGGGACGAAAGCCUAGAUCCAGCCAUGGCCGCGUGUGGUGAAGAAAGGUUCUUACGGAUUAGUAAAGACGUAACUUUUAAGGUUGGGAAGGUAAGGGCUAACGGUUACCUAAAUUACGUAAUCGUUGUUUUGUACCGUUAACCGACAAGGAAUAAGACGUACCGGACUAACUCUGUCGCCAGCA
rnacentral:rRNA from 1 species